GACGAACGCUGGCGGCGUGCUUGACACAUGCAAGUCGAACGGAAAGGCCUGCUUUCCCUUGUGGAUUGCGGGUACUCGAGUGGCGAACGGGUGAGUAACACGUGAGUGAUCUGCCCCCAACUUGGGUAUAAGCCUGGGAAACUGGGUCUAAUUCCCGAUAGGACUGCAGGGUGGUGCCUGUGGUGGAAAACGAUUUUCUAGUGGUUGGGGAUGAGCUCGCGGCCUAUCAGCUUGUUGGUGGGGUAAUGGCCUACCAAGGCGGCGACGGGUAGCCGGCCUGGGAGGGUGGACGGCCACAUGGGGACUGAGAUACGGCCCAGACUCCUACGGGAGGCAGCAGUGGGGAAUAUUGCACAAUGGGCGGAAGCCUGAUGCAGCGACGCCGCGUGGGGGAUGACGGCCUUCGGGUUGUAAACUCCUUUCGACCGCGAGGAAGCCACCUGGUUGGAAGGGUGGUGACGGUAGUGGUAGAAGAAGCACCGGCUAACUACGUG
rnacentral:rRNA from 1 species